AGUCCGUUUGCCAAUAAGCAGUGAUCAGUUUCUUUUGUGUUUUUCUAUUGUUUACCUACUAUAUUAGAUGAUGACUUACCUCCAAAACGCUUUAAAACUUUCGUUUAUAAUUCUAAGUGUGUUUAUAAUUAAAGAGCUACAGUGAAAUAAAAUGAAUUCUUCAAGAAAGGCAGCACCCAUGACAAAAGAUGAGACGAUGAUUCUAGCAGAACUGGUGGCGGCGAAAAAACAUUUCAAUAUUAAGGCAACAAAUGCCACAAACAAUAAAUUGAAGGAGCAGGCUUGGCAAACCCUUGUAAAUGAUUUUAAUUCGUCGAUUCGUCGUUUCCCACGAACUCCAUCGCAGCUUCGACUAAAAUGGGAAAAUUUAAAGAACGCUACGGCAACAUAAGAAACAACCUUAGUAAGGCUGGAGGUGGUAAGGAUUGCAGAUGAAAUUUUGGAUAAAGCAUGCACAUUGUUGUAGGUCACAUAUAAUAUUUUUAACACUUUUACAGCCAAGCGGAAACAAGAUGGAAGAAAAGAAAUGCAAGGCUAGCAUAGGGACAAUGCAUUAGCAGAAUAUCUAAUAGCAAAAAAGAGACUUGACUUGGAAAAUAAAGAAAAGGAGAUUGUUGUAGCAAAAGUUAAGUUAGAUUUAGAUAAUUUAAAAAAUUAAAAAUUACUUAAAAGGAAUAUUAAAUUUCAUAAAUUAAGUAGGCAAUAAUAAUUUUAUGUUAGAUAGUUUUUUAAGUAUAUGUACAAAUUCUAAAUUAAAUAUCUUGCAUGUACUAACUACCAUGUAAUUAUCAUUUUGGAAAAUAAAAAAUAGUCAAAUUA